rnacentral:rRNA from 1 species
GAUGAACGCUGACAGAAUGCUUAACACAUGCAAGUCAACUUGAAUUUGGGUUUUUAACUUAGGUUUGGGUGGCGGACGGGUGAGUAACGCGUAAAGAACUUGCCUCACAGCUAGGGACAACAUUUGGAAACGAAUGCUAAUACCUAAUAUUAUGAUAAUAGGGCAUCCUAUAAUUAUGAAAGCUAUAAGCGCUGUGAGAGAGCUUUGCGUCCCAUUAGCUAGUUGGAGAGGUAACGGCUCACCAAGGCGAUGAUGGGUAGCCGGCCUGAGAGGGCGAUCGGCCACAAGGGGACUGAGACACGGCCCUUACUCCUACGGGAGGCAGCAGUGGGGAAUAUUGGACAAUGGACCAAGAGUCUGAUCCAGCAAUUCUGUGUGCACGAUGAAGUUUUUCGGAAUGUAAAGUGCUUUCAGUUGGGAAGAAAGAAAUGACGGUACCAACAGAAGAAGUGACGGCUAAAUACGUG